GGCACUGUGGCUUAGUUGGUUAAAGUGUGUGCUUAGUAAAUAGGAGAUCCUGGGUUCAAAGCCCAACGGUGCCU